AUUCCGCCCCCUCGAACCGGUGCUUUCAGCGCAACUGCGUGGUGAAAGGUAAACGGGAAACAGGAAAGGACGCAUCGCGCCGCCCAUGGCGGCCGCCGGCGUGCUCGGCCUGUGCUGCCCCCGCAACGGUCCCCCCGCCAGGGCUCCUUUCGAGCCGUCAUGGCGGGACAGCCCGAUACCGGCCGGUUCGCCCGGGGAAGA
rnacentral:ncRNA from 2 species